rnacentral:rRNA from 1 species
UACGUAGGGGGCGAGCGUUGUCCGGAUUUAUUGGGCGUAAAGAGCGUGUAGGCGGUUCGGUAAGUCUGUCGUGAAAUCCUGAGGCUCAACCUCGGGCGUGCGAUGGAUACUGCCGGGCUAGAGGGUGGUAGAGGCGAGUGGAAUUCCCGGUGUAGCGGUGAAAUGCGCAGAUAUCGGGAGGAACACCAGUAGCGAAGGCGGCUCGCUGGGCCACACCUGACGCUGAGGGACGAAAGCUAGGGGAGCGAAAGGG